rnacentral:piRNA from 1 species
UGCCGGUCAAUUUCAAGUAUCAACUGCUU